rnacentral:rRNA from 1 species
GACGAACGCUGGUGGCGUGCUUAACACAUGCAAGUCGAACGGAAAGGCCCUGCUUUUGUGGGGUGCUCGAGUGGCGAACGGGUGAGUAACACGUGAGUAACCUGCCCUUGACUUUGGGAUAACUUCAGGAAACUGGGGCUAAUACCGGAUAGGAGCUCCUGCUGCAUGGUGGGGGUUGGAAAGUUUCGGCGGUUGGGGAUGGACUCGCGGCUUAUCAGCUUGUUGGUGGGGUAGUGGCUUACCAAGGCUUUGACGGGUAGCCGGCCUGAGAGGGUGACCGGCCACAUUGGGACUGAGAUACGGCCCAGACUCCUACGGGAGGCAGCAGUGGGGAAUAUUGCACAAUGGGCGGAAGCCUGACGCAGCAACGCCGCGUGCGGGAUGACGGCCUUCGGGUUGUAAACCGCUUUCGCCUGUGACGAAGCGUGAGUGACGGUAAUGUGUAAAGAAGCACCGGCUAACUACGUGCCAGCAGCCGCGGUGAUACGUAGGGUGCGAGCGUUGUCCGGAUUUAUUGGGCGUAAAGGGCUCGUAGGUGGUUGAUCGCGUCGGAGGUGUAAUCUUGGGGCUUAACCCUGAGCGUGCUUUCGAUACGGGUUGACUUGAGGAAGGUAGGGGAGAAUGGAAUUCCUGGUGGAGCGGUGGAAUGCGCAGAUAUCAGGAGGAACACCAGUGGCGAAGGCGGUUCUCUGGGCCUUUCCUGACGCUGAGGAGCGAAAGCGUGGGGAGCGAACAGGCUUAGAUACCCUGGUAGUCCACGCUGUAAACGGUGGGUACUAGGUGUGGGGUCCAUUCCACGGGUUCCGUGCCGUAGCUAACGCUUUAAGUACCCCGCCUGGGGAGUACGGCCGCAAGGCUAAAACUCAGAGGAAUUGACGGGGCCCCGCACAAGCGGCGGAGCAUGCGGAUUAAUUCGAUGCAACGCGUAGAACCUUACCUGGGUUUGACAUGGAUCGGGAGUGCUCAGAGAUGGGUGUGCCUCUUUUGGGGUCGGUUCACAGGUGGUGCAUGGCUGUCGUCAGCUCGUGUCGUGAGAUGUUGGGUUAAGUCCCGCAACGAGCGCAACCCUUGUUCACUGUUGCCAGCACGUUAUGGUGGGGACUCAGUGGAGACCGCCGGGGUCAACUCGGAGGAAGGUGGGGAUGACGUCAGGUCAUCAUGCCCCUUAUGUCCAGGGCUUCACGCAUGCUACAAUGGCUGGUACAGAGAGUGGCGAGCCUGUGAGGGUGAGCGAAUCUCGGAAAGCCGGUCUCAGUUCGGAUUGGGGUCUGCAACUCGACCUCAUGAAGUCGGAGUCGCUAGUAAUCGCAGAUCAGCAACGCUGCGGUGAAUACGUUCCCGGGGCU